rnacentral:rRNA from 1 species
UACGGAAGGCAGCAGGGGGAAUAUUGCACAAUGGGCGAAAGCCUGAUGCAGCUAUGCCGCGUGUAUGAAGAAGGCCUUAGGGUUGUAAAGUACUUUCAUCGGGGAGGAAAAAACAAAACUAAUAAUUUUAUUUCUUGACGUUACCCGAAAAAGAAGCACCGGCUAACUCCGUGCCAGCAGCCGCGGUAAUACGGAGGGUGCUAGCGUUAAUCAGAAUUACUGGGCGUAAAGAGCACGUAGGUGGUUUUUUUAAGUCAGAUGUGAAAUCCCUGGGCUUAACCUGGAACUGCAUUUUGAAACUGAAAUACUAGAGUAUCGUAGAGGGAGGUAGAAUUCUAGGUGUAGCGGUGAAAUGCGUAGAUAUCUGGAGGAAUACCUGUGGCGAAAGCGGCCUCCUAAACGAAUACUGACACUGAGGGUGCGAAAGCGUGGGGAGCAAACGAGGGAUUUAGAUA